rnacentral:lncRNA from 1 species
UCGCCCCCGCGCCAGCCCGCCUGGGCCUCUGCGCCGCCGGCGGCUUCUUAAAUACAGGAAAGGGAGGGGACCGCAGGGCCCCGGUGUUCCCCACCCUAGUCCCCCUUCACCACGGGCCACCGGGCGCCAGCGGAGUGGGCAGCGAGCGCGACCGAAAGUUCCAACUCCACCAAACUCCCGCGCGCGGCCCACCCUUUCCCGGGAUUUCGGGGAUGACACGGGGGCCAGUGGUCCUGUCUGGUGUGAACCGUCAGCACAGAUGGCCUCCUGGAGCUUCCCCGAGUCGUUCGCUGGGGGAAGCGGGCGGUGAGCGGCCAGCCCGGGCGCUCCGCAGGCCGCGAGCUCCCGGCAGGGCUGGUGGCGGGGGUCCGCCUGGGGGAGGAAUCCCCGCCUGCUCCAUCGGACCCGGCCUGGCGCGGCUCGCGGCGCUCGGCGGGCUCCCUUCCAUUCUAGAAUCUUCCCGCUUGCUUCCCAGCCCGCGUUCUUCCGCCUGCCUUUAAUUGUAAUUUACAGGAUUAAGGAGUUUGGGGAAGUCGCAGAGCUGCAGCGGAAAGGCAGGGGUCUGAGACUACUUUUGAGAAGAGAAACAACGCAAAACGAUCGCUGGAGGGCCAGAGCCCUGGUCGAAGGUGCCCU